CACCUUUUGGCAAUAGCUGACACUAUAUUAUAGAAACACAGGUACUCCUUCCUUUCACAUUAUCUCUUUUUGGUUUGGUUAUAUAUCCAAAAAUUGUCUUGCUGUUUAUUGGUGUAAGAUGCAAGCUUUCAUCCUGUGUGAUUAUUAUAUUUUUGCUGAGCAGACUGCUGUUCACCAGCAUAUCAGACUAUCCCAUGCAGAUUUUUUUUUUUGCUGGCUUUCUGAUUCAUAGCAUUUUGUUAGCUACGGUGUUUCUUUUCUGUGUGAUUUUACUGUUUGUUGUGUUUACCAGGGAAGGACCAGGCAACAAAUCGAUCUGGUAUUGUUCAAGAGGAUGUUCAGCCUCCAGGGUUAAAAGUGUGGUCUGAUCCAUUUGGAAGGAAAUAACAACAUUGUCUGUGUACAUCACAAGGUGUGCCUGAAGAUGGAUAUGUUCAAAGCAACUGUUUUGACUCAUACACUAAUGAGUGUAUUGUUCGGGUGUUGCUGGAGAAGGAUUCUCAAUAUGGUGGUUUAGGUAGUCACUUCAGUGAAUGCUGCUGGUUCUGAAGAUUAAUACUAAAUUUUUCUUUAGAGUUCCGUAGCUACUGGAACAAAAUGGACUGACACUGAGAUGGCUGAAUGAUUUUUUCGAGUUUAGAGCUGAAACACUUUUUCAUACGUUUGAGGGAAGAGAAGAGAACUUGCUAUUGGGGUUAAUCUGUAGCCACUUAUAGAAUAAAUCUGAUCAGAAUAAAUUAUGCAGAUCAUUGUAGUUUACUCCUGUUUGAUUAUAUAUGCAAGAUGAGUGAACAAUGCAGAAAGAAUGUAAUGUGAUAUAACUGUAAAUCUGUAAACAAUAUUAAAAUCAUGUUUUUAUUUAAACUGA